rnacentral:rRNA from 1 species
CAGCCGCCGCGGUAAUACCGGCGGCCCGAGUGGCGGUCACUAUUAUUGGGCUCAAAACGUCCGUAGCCGGGUUGGGAAGGCCUCCGGGAAAUCUGGCCGCUUAACGGUCCGAAUGCCGGAGGAUACUCCCAGCCUAGGGAGCGGGAGAGGCCGAGGGUAUUCCCGGAGUAGGGGUGAAAUCCUAUAAUCCCGGGAGGACCACCUGGGGCGAAGGCGCUCGGCUGGAACGCGUCCGACGGUGAGGGACGAAGGCCAGGGGAGCAAACCGGAUUAGAUACCCGGGUAGUCCUGGCUGUAAACGAUGCGGACUUUGUGUCGGACAAGCUAUGAGCUUGUCCGGUGCCGGAGGGAAACCGUUAAGUCCGCCGCCUGGGGAGUACGGCCGCAAGGCUGAAACUUAAAGGAAUUGGCGGG